GAUUUCACGUGGGUCUGAAUUGCUCUCAGCUGCUAGCGGUUUAGACACUGAUCAUGUCCGCAUUUAUACCGCGCACCUCCCAGCACACAAUGCGGAAGAUUAAAUGUUUUGAGCUAGUUUAACGCGUAUCAUAGUCAUGGUCCAUGUUUAGAGUUAGUUCGCGCUGGAUUAUCCGCUUUCAGCCCCUCGUCAUAGUUCGUUUCUUGUUUUGUUUAUUGACCUAGAUUCCUGCCUUGCCCCGUGUAUGCCUGUUUGCCAAUUGCCUGACCUCUUGCAUGUUUGUGGAUUACGUUUUGGAUCACGUUUUGGAUUUGUCUGCCUAUCUCUCUUUCUAAUAAACAACUGUUCAUCCUGCACUUGCAUCCGUCCUAUCUCUGCUCCAUCACGAUUCGUGACAACUGGGCCGUGGAGGAGCCUGGAGACUAUCCCAGGGAACCUGGAAACAAGGUGGGGGACACCCUGGACAGUCAACCUACAACACAUGUCUUUGGACUGGGGGAAGAAACCAGAGUACCGAAAGAAAACCCUUGAAGCUUGGGGAGAACAUACACACAGGUUAGAGGUUACAGAGGAUCCAAAGCCUCCACAUCUCAGGAAUACUGGGAGUGAACCUCGGGAAUAAUGCAUUGCACCUUUUGUUUGAACCCACUCAUUUUUUCAAGUGAUCAGGUGUGCCCUGUUAAAUCAGAAUGUCUACUCUUGGUUUGAGCCCUAGGUUUCACCUGUGAAGACUGCAUUUGUUGUUAAAAAGGAUAAACAAACAUGAAGACUAGAGAGCUGUCUAUGGGAGAAAAGCAACUCAUUUUGAAGCUGAGAAAAGAAGGAAAAUCUAUCAGAGCCAUUACAUAAGCAUUGGGCAAUCAGCAAUGCAACAAUUUGGAAUGUCUUGGAAAAAAAUAGUGGUGUACUAACAACUUGACAUGGAGAAUGGGUCAGACAAGGAAAUCUACAGCAGUUGAUGACAGAAACAUUGUGAAAGCUAUGAAGAGAAAUGGAGAGGAUAGUAUGGCCAGGAGACAGGACACAGGGAGAACAUGUGAAACUCUACAUAAACAAUUUAGGCUCAGGAUUGAAUCAGAGCCCAUGGAGACAUUUCAUUUUAUAGUGUUUGAUUUCAUUUAAUUUAAUUUCAUCUUAUUUUACCCUCAAACCAGUGUCUCAUUUGAAACAUUUUGUUGCACACAACAUACACUUCUCUCCUUUUAGGAUGUUACUAGGGACUGACAAAUAAAAAUUCAAAGAUUUGCUCUAAAUCAACUACUAUGUGUAUGAGGAGUUUUGACCUCAUUAUCACUCCCACAUGAGAAACAGUGCUUCUGCAACAAAUUGCAUUUCUAGUCAGGCCAUCAGCGCAAAAGGAAUUUGCAUUAUCUGUGUUCAUACCAUAAAUGACUGUCUAGCUCGUGGAAAUUUCUUUAAAUGUGACGUGAAAAUGUAAGUAGUGCAUUUUAUUUCAGUUAAACUGGCAGAUAACUCAUUUUCUGCAGAGUCCACAUUACAGAUAAGCAGCAAUCAUGGAGACACCUCAUUAUGAAGACCUACCAAACAAGCUGAGCCAAGCAUAGAAUUGAAAAUAAUUUCGAUAAUAGCCUAUUUGUUUUGCACAAUGCAGUAUUAUAUAGCAGACAGGUCUGAGCUCAUUCCAAGAGUGUAACAGCGUUCUGUCCCUGCCCGCUGCAGAUUCAUUUAAUUAAAUGUUUAUUAAGCCCUUCAUGAAUUGAAUCUGGUAUGUUGUAAUACCCUGUGACUAGAUUUGGACAGCGUUGCUGUGUAUGCUAUGUUCCUGAACCUGAUAUAAGAACCAAUAAUCACAUUUGAGCAUUUUUUUUUUUAUUUUCUUUGUCAUGUAAUCGAUUUUAAUCCUCGCUUUUUAUACUGUCAUUACGCAAAUGGAGUCAUUUGUACCAUUCUGGCAAUGUGUUUUUUUUUUAAUUAUUAUAAAUAGAGAGGAUUUCUGAGACAGGAAAAUCUUAAUUUUUUUUGUCUUUUUAACUGAUGAAGGAAUGACUGUUUAUAGCUGCUAUAACGUAAGUGGUAACAGGAACGAACUUGUUUUCGCAACAUUCCACAACAUUAAACAUAACUAUAAAUGUAAGCAAAAAUGUGAUAUUAUUUAAUAAAUAAAAGAAUUGUUAAUAAAGUGGGAACAGUUCCGUGUUAUAAGAGAAAUAAGUGUAGUGUGUUAUAAGUUUUAUUUGUCAUAUUCCAAUUCAAUUUCCUAACACUAUACAAUAGCACAUUCCCUUGUGUUUUAAUCCACACGUUACGAUUCCUCAACUUCAGCAUUAAUACAUGAAGUAAUGGUGACAAAACAAAAAAGUUAAUUUAACAUUAGCUGCGUUUACAUGGACAACAAUAAUCCACUCUUAACCUGAUUAAGACCAUACUUUGAUUAAGAAACGACCAUGUAAACAGCUAUUUUUACUUACCUUAAUCUAAUUAAGGUCAUACUCGAAUUAAGCUCUAAUCUAAUUAAGACAGGUGGAGUACUCCUGUUUUAGUCGCAUUAUGGACAUGUAUUACAGACAUGUAAACACCUUAAUCACAUUAUGAACGUCGUGUGAGAGUUUUGACCGCAUUUUGCGACAGGACACGAUCACACACGACAGUUCUCAACAUUUUACGGCAAACAAGAGAGUUCGGCCACGUCCCAAACUGCAUACUUACCUACUAUAGGCUUGUAGUGGGGAAAAAUACAUGUAUCUCGGCUACUAUAUAGACGGUAAGUACGCGGUUUGAGACGCAGCCCACGGCUUCAAGCAGUUGUCUAUUUGCACGUACAGCAUGACAAAUAAUUAACUGCACUUAAAGCGUUCGUAAAAAAUUUAAUAAAAACACCCAAAACUGUAUACGGUACCAUAACGAAGACGAACUGUAUGUUGAUACGUGAAAUUCUGGAGGGACGUCUGACGGCGUGGCGCGGUGAUGUAAUGACGCGGGCUGUUAAUCCAAUUAUGUUCUAAAACAUGUAAAACGGGAACAUGAGAGGAGUUUUCUAAAAGCGACUCAUGUAAACACCUUAAUCACAUUAUUAUCUUACUGAGAGUAAAGUCAAUAAUUAGAUUACUGCUGUCCAUGUAAACGUAGUCAAAGAUGUUACUGUUUAAUUGAAGCAUGCUGUUAAAUUUGAGCAAAAAUUAAAUGCUUGAAAUAUGAGGAACUUGCCCUUUUGGACAUGCUGGUGCAUGUGUUUUACAGCGUUGUUGGGUUGUUGCUUUUUUUGCAUUCUCAAAUUUUGGAUUUUCUAAUUCACAUUAGAACCCACCAUUCAGUCUUACAGAUGAAAUUUUAACAAUAAAUCACUGUAAAUAUAUGAAUUGCAUUUCAGCCAUGACAACUCUGAGUGAAAUUGUGAGCUUUUAUAGAUAGAGAUGGAGUGUAAAUUUGGUUUGGUCUGGUGGACUAGAUCUGCUACACUGCUACUGCUGCUGCUGAGCGAGUAGGAAUGCUUGCUCUGAUAGUCACGGAGAGACAUAGAAAGAAGAGAAGAAUGCUGCUGCUGCAAAGGUUACGGAAGGAGGUGCCCUCCCCAAAACCAAGUGGACGGACUGUACUGAAAUACAGCACAGCCCUUGAUGAUGUAGAUCUGAAUGCCAGGACUUGAGCACUGCUGCUGCUCAGAGGAGGCACGAUACCCAAGUGUGUACUGGCUAUGCAUGCCUAGGCCUGCUUUGACGACUGGCUUAACGCUACUGAACUACUCCUAUGUGUUGGUAUGAUGACUAAUGGCCUAGCUGACUAUGUGUGUCUGGACUGGGAAGCCCAGAACUUAUUUAACUGUGACUUAGAGACUAUGUGUACCCAGCUGACUCCUUGGUUUGGACUAAAUAUAUAUGCAGAUCAUAGUGUGAGUGCAUGCCAAAAUUUUAAUUUUGACAUUUGUAUUUCUUGGAAAUUGAUAGGCAGUAGAACGAAUAAUGGACUGGGAUCGGGAUCACUAUGGAGCGGUAGGGAUUUGCAUUGCUUAGGCGAAUAGGAGAGUGUGUGCUCCUAAAGACCCAGCACCACCUGCAAAUGUUUCCUUUGAAUAAUCAUGUAGAAUUAUUAGUUUUUAAUUAAAUGUCCCUUGACUCGUUUAUGAGCAUGAAUAAGUUAUUGUCUGCUAUUGCCAGCGAUUGUCGAAUUAUAUCGACGUUGAUCAGCAAUUAUUAGCAUUUGUCAAUAUUUGUCAACAAUCGUAAGCAAUUAUGUUGUUGGGUUUUUUUUGGCAAGUAUCAGCAUUUAUAAAUGCCAGCAAUUAUCAGCAGUUAUCAGUGUUUUUUCAAGAUUUGUCAACAAUUAUCGGCAGUUAUCGGAAGUUAUCAGCAUUUAUCGACAUUUGCCAGCAAUCAUCAGCAGUUACCAACAUUUUUCGGCUAUCAGCAUUACCAGCAAUUAUAUGCAUUUAUCAGAAAUUAUGAGCAGUUAUCAGAAUUUGUCAGCAAUCACUGGCAAUUGUCAACAGUGACAAUUGCCAAUGAAUAAGACCGAUGUUCAUUAUGCAGUUUAUUUAGUUCAUUAUAUAAUCAAAUAUCAAUUACUACAAGAGUUAAUGACUAUGUUAGAAUUGCUUAGAGAAUAUUAAUGCUGACAAUCAUGGUUUUCUUACCUAAUGCAGUAAAUAACAUUAGUGAUACAUAUCACCUGGGCCGGAUUACAUCACAACAACAUAUGAUUCACUUGUUGCAUAUAACAUUUAUUGGCUCAUGAUAAUUGAUAAAGCAGGACAGAAAAGAAAAUGUGUGAUGCAGGGUUCUAAAUGAAAAAGAUGAAUGAAAGAAUCACUGCAGAUGAAUGAAAAGGUACAUUCCUGUUUCUAUGAAUUAUAAAAGAGUUGAAAAGAGAAGAGGGGAAAAGGAGGAAAAGGAGUGCAGCACAAUCUAAUUCAAAUCCUUGACCUACUCCAAGCAGAAAGAUCUGAAAUAAAUAAAAGAAAAUUGCCUAUUUCGCGUACUGAGUGUUUCCUGAUGAAAAACAUUCUGGACUGGAUAAGAGAGUUUUGAAUUUAGAUGUUUUAGGACAGAAUUUCCUUUAUUUGUUUUUAGCUUGGGGGAUCUAAUGUUGUAUGUAUAUAUU